rnacentral:rRNA from 1 species
AAGACCUUUGCACUUUUGGAGCGGCCGAUGUCUGAUUAGCUAGUUGGUGGGGUAAUGGCCUACCAAAGCUUCGAUCAGUAGCUGGUCUGAGAGGAUGAUCAGCCACACUGGGACUGAGACACGGCCCAGACUCCUACGGGAGGCAGCAGUGGGGAAUUUUGGACAAUGGGCGCAAGCCUGAUCCAGCCAUGCCGCGUGAGUGAAGAAGGCCUUCGGGUUGUAAAGCUCUUUCAGCCGGGAAGAAAAGGUUGCGAUUAAUAAUCGCAAUUUAUGACGGUACCGGAAGAAGAAGCACCGGCUAACUACGUGCCAGCAGCCGCGGUAAUACGUAGGGUGCGAGCGUUAAUCGGAAUUACUGGGCGUAAAGGGUGCGCAGGCGGUUUUGUAAGUCAGAUGUGAAAUCCCCGGGCUUAACCUGGGAACU